rnacentral:lncRNA from 1 species
AGACUCUCUGCAACCGAGGUGGGUCGGAGGACCCGCCAUCCCCGCUCUCCACGGCCCCCAGUGUUUUCUCGGAUUGUUCCGUGCCAAUGGGAACCAGGAGGGAAAGUUGAACAAAAACCUUCAGAGCUAUUAAAUUGUCGCGUGAUGGAGGAGGGUCUUGCUGUGUCCGGGCUAGUCCUAGUGACAGGUUAGGACCCUAGGUAUAUCCCUUUGUACCAACGUUCGCUGGUUUUCCGCCUGGCUUCCAGAAAUCACUAAGCCCAUCCUCUGCUUGUUCCCUGGAGCUGUUAAGUAGCUGAGACUUGGAGCGGUCAGGCUGCCUAACCAGUUACAGAUCCAGCCCCACCAUCACCACCAGAGUUGAGUCCAAAUCCAACACUCUAGGCCGGGUAGUGCUGGGACUUUGCCAGCCUCCUGCUGAGAAGUGAAUUCUCCCCUUGGCAAACUGCAGCCAGCCAGCCUCCUGGGUCGAGAGCCAAGCCAAAAGAUGUCUGAGAGAAGAAACCUGGGGUCCUGCAAAGGUAAGUGGGUCCCAGCCCACUCUCAAUCCCCCUCUCUCUGUGUGAUUGCUAUUCCACACUGGAGUCACCUGCUCUGUGCUUCUGAGGAACCUCACCUCUGGCACAUCAAUGGAAAUUGUCCUUCCCUUUUUAUUUAUUUUUAUUUAUUUUUUAUUUUUUGCCACCCUCACUGGCCACUAAGAGAUAGCCCUAGCUCCUCCUCUCCUGCCUGGUUUUGACAGGACUCACUCCAUUGAGUCCUGUCUCGUCUCUUUGCAGCCCUCCUCCUCCCCCCCCCCCCCCUUCAGCCAGCACUUAGGCCCUCCCUGAUUUAGCCCGUUACCUUGACAACCACUUGGGCCUGUCUCCCUCAUCACCACUGAAAACCUGAAGGUGGUUUUCCAGCUGCGGUACAUUUGCCCAAGUUGGGCACCCCUCCAGCUUCUAUUGGCUCGCCCUCUAUACAGCUGUACCCAAUAUAACAAACACAACCUUCCUGGCCCCUCAGCUGUAGUCUCGAAAUUGAUCUCACUGGUCCCGGGAACUCCGUCAAUACUGCCUCCUCUAGACUGAGCUCCUCACAGGCAGGAACAUGGUUGUUUCUCAAUAAACAAGUUGCAAAAAAA